AGUUUCAUGCCCACUUCUUUAUUUUUACCGGUGUCAACAUGUUGGACUUUAGUUGUUUUGUUUACAUCUUCAUUGUUGUUGGUAUUUGCUGUCAAACCUAGUAAAAGCAAUGGCAUAUGUAGAAUUAAGUUGAAAUAUGAAUAGUUUCUCCUCUGUUACUUAGGACUCUAUUGGAUUAGAAACACCUGAGAGCAUCCCAUGAUCACAAUCCUCAACCAACAGUUAAAGUUUAUAAUCCCAGCAG